rnacentral:rRNA from 1 species
UAACGCGUUAAGUAGACCGCCUGGGGAGUACGGUCGCAAGAUUAAAACUCAAAUGAAUUGACGGGGGCCCGCACAAGCGGUGGAGCAUGUGGUUUAAUUCGAUGCAACGCGAAGAACCUUACCUACUCUUGACAUCCAGAGAAGCCAGCGGAGACGCAGGUGUGCCUUCGGGAACUCUGAGACAGGUGCUGCAUGGCUGUCGUCAGCUCGUGUUGUGAAAUGUUGGGUUAAGUCCCGCAACGAGCGCAACCCUUAUCCUUGUUUGCCAGCGAGUAAUGUCGGGAACUCCAGGGAGACUGCCGGUGAUAAACCGGAGGAAGGUGGGGACGACGUCAAGUCAUCAUGGCCCUUACGAGUAGGGCUACACACGUGCUACAAUGGCGCAUACAGAGGGCAGCAAGCUAGCGAUAGUGAGCGAAUCCCAAAAAGUGCGUCGUAGUCCGGAUUGGAGUCUGCAACUCGACUCCAUGAAGUCGGAAUCGCUAGUAAUCG